rnacentral:rRNA from 1 species
UAGUCCACGCCGUAAACGAUGAGAACUAGGUGUUGGGGGUCGAACCUCAGUGCCGCAGCUAACGCAAUAAGUUCUCCGCCUGGGGAGUACGAUCGCAAGAUUGAAACUCAAAGGAAUUGACGGGGGCCCGCACAAGUAGCGGAGCAUGUGGUUUAAUUCGAAGCAACGCGAAGAACCUUACCAGGUCUUGACAUCCCUCAGACCGCUUCAGAGAUGAGGCUUUCCCUUCGGGGACUGAGGUGACAGGUGGUGCAUGGUUGUCGUCAGCUCGUGUCGUGAGAUGUUGGGUUAAGUCCCGCAACGAGCGCAACCCUUAUCUUUAGUUGCCAUCAUUUAGUUGGGCACUCUAGAGAGACUGCCGGUGAUAAACCGGAGGAAGGUGGGGAUGACGUCAAAUCAUCAUGCCCCUUAUGACCUGGGCUACACACGUGCUACAAUGGUUAGUACAGAGGGCAGCGAAACCGCGAGGUCAAGCAAAUCCCUUAAAGCUAAUCUCAGUUCGGAUUGC